UUUCAGCUCUUACUACCGAUUGGGCGUACCACAACCCUACCUCCCCAGUAUUUCGAUUUAGACCCGCUCCUCCCAUCUCUCAAUCUCCGGAACAAUCCUCAAAUUUAGGGUGAUUCGUGCACCCACCCCAUGUCUCUACACCCCUAGCCCCUCACUCGAAUCGCCCAUCCACCGUCUGUGCAAACCCUAGACCCACCCUCUAUCACCCUUCUGAUUGAGACCGACGUAUAGCCGACCCAUCUCCUUCGAGGCUCCGACUGCAAAGGACCUCUCCCCCGAGGCUUGGACCAUCGACCACGCUCAAUCGCCCAUUCUCCAGAUAAUACUAGAAGUAAAAAUAUGGGAGUUGAAGGAUGUCGAACCUGAAGAAGGGGAGAUUGUUGCCGUGCAAGAACCAGCCAAAUCAAAAGGAUGAAAGCUAGGACGAGUGCCUGUGUGUAUCGCACCAAAUGGACAUUCCAGCAAACACACAAGUCACAAGAGCUAACCUGUGCCCACUUUUACAAGCUUCCAUCAUCAUUAGCGUCAAAGUCUCUGAGCUAAGUUUCCAGCCUUAAAGGCUGUAUCUGGUGGCAGAUUUUCAAGUUCUAAGACAAGGCCGAGUAAGAAAGGAAUGCACUAUAGAACAUUUUGUAAUAUGUGGUGCAUUUUAAGCCCUCAUAUCAACAAUCACUAAGACCUACUCCAAUUCUUAGAGUAAAACUCAAAAUUUAGGUUAUAAACUUACCUCAACUUGCUCCAACCCUUGGGCCAAAUAUGACUUAAAACCCAAAACUUAUUUUUGGGGCAAAUUUAGCCAAGACUUCCUACUGGGUUAGUGGGGCAAACCCACUAAAUACGUCUAUUUUUUUUAGUUUUAUAUUUAUUAAUUCAUUGAAUCCAACAACUAAGAUUUAAUUUGAUCAAAUC
rnacentral:sRNA from 1 species